rnacentral:rRNA from 1 species
GACGAACGCUGGCGGCAUGCCUAAUACAUGCAAGUCGAGCGAACAGAUGAAGUGCUUGCACUUCUGACGUUAGCGGCGAACGGGUGAGUAACACGUAAGGAAUCUACCUAUAAGCGGGGGAUAACAUUCGGAAACGGGUGCUAAUACCGCAUAAUAUCUUCUUCCGCAUGGAAGAAGAUUGAAAGACGGCUCUGCUGUCACUUAUAGAUGACCUUGCGGUGCAUUCGUUAGUUGGUGGGGUAACGGCCUACCAAGACGAUCAUGCAUAGCCGACCUGGGGGGGUGAUCGGCCACAUUGGGACUGAGACCCGGCCCAAGCUCCUAGGGGAGGCAGCAGUAGGGAAUCUGCCGCAAUGGGGGAAAGCCUGACGGAGCAAUGCCGCGUGAGUGAAGAAGGCCUUCGGGUCGUAAAACUCUGUUAUAAGAGAAGAACAAAUUGUAGGGUAACUGCUACAGUCUUGACGGUAUCUUAUCAGAAAGCGACGGCUAACUACGUGCCAGCAGCCGCCGUAA